GGAUUGUGGCUCAGUGGUAGAGCGCUCGCCUAGCAUGUGCGGGGCCCAGGGUUCAAUCCUCCGCACCA
rnacentral:tRNA from 1 species